AGGAAAACUACGGAAUCAACGACCCUGUUGCUGUAGCGAAAGUCAAAGAAGUGUAUUCAAAAUUGGACAUGAAAACUGUCUACCAUGAUUACGAGAAAAUUAGUUAUGGAAAAUUAAUGCAACUGAUUAACAAAGCACCCAGUGGUCUCCCUAAGGAAAUUUUCACUGAAUUAGCUGCCAAGAUAUACAAACGAGAUAAAUAAAUUCAUAAAAUUCUUCAUUUUGUUGUUCUUACUAGAGUUCCAGUCAGGGACGCCGGAAAGGGUGGCGCAGGGGGGGGGGGUGGCGCAGGGGACAUCGCCCCCUUGCCCUUUAGUAAGGGGGCAGGGGGGCGAAAGUGCCCUUAUAGAUAAAAAUUCUAACCCAAAAAAUAUAUGGUACAACGAUUAAAAAGUAUGAAUUACGGGUGAAAUAUACGUAAUAUUGAAAUAUAUGUGAAAUUUUCUGGAAUAUUGUGUCAAAAAUUAUAUUUUCAAAAUUUUUUGCCCUUCUUUUGUUGAAUUAAAGUUCCGGAAAGAAUUUUCGGAAACGAAAUAUUAAUUAGUGAUUUCCCUUACGUCAACAUUGCCCCCCUGUGCGCUACCCUCGCUCCGGCGUCCCUGGUUCCAGUGUGAAGCUCGGAUGAAACUAGGAUGAGAGUUCUUGAGAGUUGACAGUCACGCGAUCUGCUUGGUUAGCUGUUCUCAGUAUUGCUUUCCCAACACUAUCAUGUAUUCUGUUUAAGUUAAAACAUAGUUGGAACACAUCAAACCUUUAUUUUGUUAAUAUAGAGCUUGAAAUGUCCCUGUAACAAUGCGGACUGCCAACUCUUAUCAAAUCUCACGCUCGUGCCAUCCGGGCUUCAGUACAUGAUCGUAAUCUCAUCAAUCGGUGCAUUUUUAAACAAUUCUCAGCGGGUAAAUUUGAUUUUAAUUUAUGCUGUCCCCUUUGUGCCUUUGUAAAACAAUUUGUGUGUUUACACAGCAGAUGAACAAAUAAAAUUAAAAAUUCUUGAUGUAAAUUUUUUUAACUAGACAACAAUGAUAAUUAAACAGGAUUUAAGUAUUUUUGUGUGCG